rnacentral:rRNA from 1 species
UACGAAGGGGGCUAGCGUUGUUCGGAUUUACUGGGCGUAAAGCGCACGUAGGCGGAUCGAUCAGUCAGGGGUGAAAUCCCAGAGCUCAACUCUGGAACUGCCUUUGAUACUGUCGAUCUGGAGUAUGGAAGAGGUGAGUGGAAUUCCGAGUGUAGAGGUGAAAUUCGUAGAUAUUCGGAGGAACACCAGUGGCGAAGGCGGCUCACUGGUCCAUUACUGACGCUGAGGAGCGAAAGCGUGGGGAGCGAACAGG